rnacentral:rRNA from 1 species
GUAGGUGGCAAGCGUUGUCCGGAAUUAUUGGGCGUAAAGCGCGCGCAGGCGGUUCUUUAAGUCUGAUGUGAAAGCCCACGGCUCAACCGUGGAGGGUCAUUGGAAACUGGAGAACUUGAGUACAGAAGAGGAAAGCGGAAUUCCACGUGUAGCGGUGAAAUGCGUAGAGAUGUGGAGGAACGCCAGUGGCGAAGGCGGCUUUCUGGUCUGUAACUGACGCUGAGGCGCGAAAGCGUGGGGAGCAAACAGGAUUAGAUACCCUGGUAGUCCACGCCGUAAACGAUGAGUGCUAAGUGUUAGGGGGUUUCCGCCCCCCUUAGUGCUGCAGCUAACGCAUUAAGCACUCCGCCUGGGAGUACGGCCGCAAGGCUG